CGAUUUGACAGUGAUCUGGACAUGACCUCUUCAGCCUUUGGAUUGUCGGUAUUGAUUCGCUAAUCCAAAUGGCAAGGGAGAGGUUAUCAUCUCCCUCUACUCUGCAUGUGUGAGUUCUAAAAAGUCUGAGCAGAUCACAUUCUCAGACAAAGAACAAAUAAACAGAUAAAUAACUGAUCCGUAUUUAAGGGCAUGAAAUGAUUAUGCUUGGUUGCUGAAACUGACUGCUUAGUUGACCCGUAUGCCAAGAGAAAUUUAAUGUCCUCAUCAAAACAAAGAUUACAAUAGACAUCCUAGUGUAAUUCAU
rnacentral:sRNA from 1 species